rnacentral:misc_RNA from 1 species
UGAAAACGUCAAUAGAUGGAGUUACAACUUUGUUGAUACGAGUACCCUCGCAUAUCUAUAAAUACAUCGGACGCCAUCUUUGGUGUUUACCAGUAGUGCUGUAGCUGAAACUUGGUUUUAGGCUCGACUUUCGUUGAAGAGAGUGUUUUCCGUUUUCAAAAAGUGGCCGAUGAUAGACAGUGAAAGCUUAGACUAUAUCAUGAUGAUUCUAAGAGUGUAUCGAAUACGUGUUGUGUUCAAUAGUCGAAAUUCCGUGUCCGAGACGAUGAUUUAGUCGAAAAACAGUGUUGGCACGUAACGUGCGAGAUAUCCGACAUACAUACAUCUCUCGUCGUAUUUGUGUUUAAUGGAAUCUCUAUAGAUUAAUUUGCGACUACUAAACUGCACUAUCACGAAUCACCGUGGACAUGGAGCCGUCAUCGAACAGCGGAAGCGGCGAUGGAAAUGACACCAAGGGCAGCUGUUUGCUACUGCGCUACGCAAGCCAGAAUUCGCUCGACGAGAGCUCACAGAAACACAUUCCAAGGGAAAAUGGAAAGGACAAACCACCUUAUCGAAACCACCAUCACACUAAUCGGGCAUUCGACGUGAUGAAUACCAUGAGAAAGCAAAACCUGCUUUGCGACGUGACCUUGGUGGCGGAUGGCGGGGUGGAAGUUCCUGCCCACAAAAUGGUGUUGGCCGCGUGCAGCCCGUACUUUUAUGCGAUGUUUACGAGCUUCGAGGAGCGGGAACGAGAGAGGAUCACUCUGCAGGGUGUUGACCACGCUGCUCUCGACCUCCUCGUCGACUACGUCUACUCCGCGGAGGUUCACGUCACCGAGGACAACGUGCAGGUGCUUCUGCCGGCGGCGAAUCUCCUCCAGCUAAACGACGUCCGUGACGCGUGCUGCGACUUUCUUCAGGCCCAACUCCAUCCGUCCAACUGCCUUGGCAUCCGAGCCUUCGCCGAUCUCCACGGGUGUAUGGAGCUCCUCGCGCACGCCGACAGCUACAUAGAACAACAUUUCUCAGAGGUAGUCGAAGGAGAGGAGUUCCUCACCCUGACCCCGCAACAAGUCGCCAAGCUGAUAUGCAGCGAUCGUUUGACUGUUCCGUCCGAGGAGAAGGUGUUUGAGUGCGUUAUAUCAUGGGUCCACAACGAUCUGGAGCGAAGGCAAGACCACCUUGCUCAGCUGAUGGAGCACGUCAGGCUGCCUCUCCUUUCUCAGGAGUACCUAGUCCAGAGAGUCGAACAGGAACCACUGCUAAAAGCUAACUUGCAGUGCAAGGACUUUCUCAUCGAAGCUUUGAAGUACCAUCUCCUCAAAGGGGAGCAGAAAACCUUGUUCAAAACCGCAAGGACCAAACCACGGCAGCCGGUCGGUUUACCCAAGGUUCUAUUAGUUGUCGGGGGACAAGCACCCAAGGCCAUCAGAAGCGUUGAGUGCUACGAUUUUAAGGAGGAACGAUGGUACCAAGUUUCCGAGCUUCCUACGCGACGCUGUAGAGCUGGACUUUCCGUUCUCGGCGGUCGAGUUUAUGCUGUUGGGGGCUUUAACGGUUCUCUUAGAGUUCGAACAGUAGAUGUUUACGAUGCGGCGUCUGACCAAUGGUCAGCCUGUCCAGGCAUGGAGGCUCGAAGAUCAACCCUGGGCGUCGCAGUCCUCGGUAACUGCAUCUACGCGGUCGGUGGUUUCGACGGUUCAACCGGGUUGAACUCGGCCGAAGUCUACGACCCUCGGACCCACGAGUGGAGGAUAAUUGCACCGAUGUCAACGAGGCGGAGCAGCGUCGGCGUCGGCGUCGUUAAGGGCCUUUUGUACGCGGUUGGUGGUUAUGACGGUGCCUCUCGGCAGUGCCUCUCGAGCGUCGAAUGUUACAAUCCGGAAACCGAUCAGUGGAAAGCGGUACCAGAAAUGUCCUCACGUCGAAGUGGUGCCGGGGUUGGAGUCCUCGACGGUAUUCUGUACGCCGUUGGAGGUCAUGAUGGGCCUCUGGUAAGGAAAAGUGUCGAAGCCUUCAACCCCGAGACUAAUCAAUGGACCUCCGUCAGCGACAUGGCUCUCUGUAGAAGAAACGCCGGCGUUGUCGCGUUGAACGGGAUGUUGUACGUCGUUGGCGGCGAUGACGGAACGUCGAAUCUCUCCUCGGUCGAGGUGUACGCUCCGCGUACGGACACGUGGUUAACCCUGCCAGCAUGCAUGGGAAUCGGUCGCAGUUACGCCGGUGUGGCUAUAAUCGACAAGCCGUUGAUGGGAACCCUGACGAUGUGAGGUAUGCCGGCCGCUGGACACCCGUUCGACGUAGAUAACGACGUGGAAUCGACCACCGAUCAUCUACGGGAAUCGGGUCCCAGCGGCACUCCGUCGAACCACUCGGAGCAGCACGCACCUCCGCUCUACCACCAGCUUAGCCACGACUGCGAGGGGCCACGUUGCCUGUGCCAGAGAUACGAGAACGGGGAACUUGCCGCGGCUGUUCUGAACCAGAACCGGAACCCGAACGAGCUUAGGGACUACGAAAAUCAUCAGAACCUCGGGCGCGGUCAUCGGCGCCCAACCCAGAGCCACCCGAACCUGAAUCCGAACUAUCAAAACCCGAUCGAUUUCAUCGCGAACGACAACCACGCGACCGGAAGAAGGGGCGGAAGUGGACACGACCGCGACCGCCGGCACUACGAGCCUGAAGAAAACAUUUACGAACGUCUCGACGAGGUGCAGGGCUGCAGGGAAGGUGAUCAUACCUACGAGCGCAUAGACGAUAGAGCGUGGCAUCGCAGGGCUCGGUACCGGACUUCCGGUCCCCAAAACGUAGCUGGACCCAGCGACGUCUACGUCGAUUCUAGGCGCAUAACGGGGCCCUCGUGUCUGAGCAGGCUGGGGAGGAACUGUUUCUCGACCGAGAACAUUGCCUCUGCGUCGAACCGACGCUACGUAUAUCAGCUCGGUCAGAACUGCACGUGCCAAUUUUGCAGGCAUCUCGACGCCCGCGCUGUCUGCCAAUACUGCAACAACUUCCACGACAAACUCCGGUACCAGGAUCCGGGGACCCUUCCCAACCUCGCAGGAUCAAGACACUACAUAUAUCAGCUAUCAAGGAGUUGCAGGUGCGCCUUGUGCCAAGAUGAUUCGCUUUAUACUCGCUUCCCCAUCAACUCAAGACUCUCCGAUUCGUUCAGGCGGGACUGCCACUGCCGAAAUCCGGGAACCUGCUCGUGCAGGAACAGAUUUUUGUCGUACUCAAAUCCCGCGAUCUACAUCGGCAGGAUUAACCAUGCGGUAAACAAUCCACUCUACGCGACCCCCGUCGGCAUUUUGGACCCGAACCCGUCAACGUCGAGCGGUGCGCAAGGACUCGGCGAGCCCUCGACCAGCACCGGUCGGACCUCGGGUAAUUACGCGUCGAGCAAUCCUUCGAGCUCCGGGGUUCCCGCUUGUUCGGGAAAUCGAUCAAGCGAUCGUCAGCACGUCUGCGAUGACUCCUGCAUACGGAAUCCCAACGUCGGCGGUGUCUAUCAGAUCCUGGGCAAGUGUGAGAGAGCCGAUUGUCAUCACGGCAGGGUUUCCAUACACUGGGUGUUCGUGAAUAAAUGGGUUCCCUCGUGGAGUGCCCAGGAUUCUGUACCCGAGGCCGACGCUAAUCCCGAACCUGCGUCCAGAGAUGACGAACCUCGAAAUCAGCCGGAAGGUGACGCGGACGAAUCCUAAUUUCUGAGAAUUCUUGACUGCGUGUCAGUCAAUUGUAAACAAGUGAUCG